CGGCCCCUGGCCGCGCGGUAGGCGCCCCAGGCUCCGUCAGCACCCCUCCAACGCCACCCCAAGAACGCCCAGCUCCUAGGGUCCAGUGAGAGGGUCAGCUUGUCCAGAAGUCUCCUGGAACCUUCCGUGCAUCUCGGAGAGGAGGAAUUUGCUCAUGAAGAACCAGGCUCAGGAGCUAUUGCAGAGAUGGUAGAAAGAAUGUCAGAGCCAAGGGACGGGGAGGACCACUUCCAGUGCUGUCUGCCAGACAAAGUGGCCUUGACAUCCAUGACCUCACAGUGGCUGACACUACCUGCACAACCUGCAUAAUAGGAUGAAAAAAAUUGGUGAUAUCAAAACAGAAAAGAGACUAACUGGAAAGAAGAAGGGAUUCA